rnacentral:rRNA from 1 species
AUUGAACGCUGGCGGCAGGCCUAACACAUGCAAGUCGAACGAGCGGCGGACGGGUGAGUAAUGUCUGGGAAUCUGCCCGAUAGAGGGGGAUAACUACUGGAAACGGUGGCUAAUAACGCAUACUAUAUGAUGUACCCAUAUGGGAUUAGCUAGUAGGUGGGGUAACGGCUCACCUCGGCGACGAUCUCUAGCUGGGCUGAGAGGAUGAUCAGCCACACUGGAACUGAGACACGGCCCAGAACCCUACGGGAGGCAGCAGUGGGGAAUAUUGCACAAUGGGCGCAAGCCUGAUGCAGCCAUGCCGCGUGUAUGAAGAAGGCCUGAGGGUUGUAAAGUACUUUCAGCGGGGAGGCGUUACCCGCAGAAGAAGCACCGGCUAACUCCGUGCCAGCAGCCGCGGUAAUAC